AUUGAACGCUGGCGGCAGGCCUAACACAUGCAAGUCGAGCGGCAGCGGGAAAGUAGCUUGCUACUUUUGCCGGCGAGCGGCGGACGGGUGAGUAAUGCCUGGGAAAUUGCCCAGUCGAGGGGGAUAACAGUUGGAAACGACUGCUAAUACCGCAUACGCCCUACGGGGGAAAGCAGGGGACCUUCGGGCCUUGCGCGAUUGGAUAUGCCCAGGUGGGAUUAGCUAGUUGGUGAGGUAAUGGCUCACCAAGGCGACGAUCCCUAGCUGGUCUGAGAGGAUGAUCAGCCACACUGGAACGGGGACACGGUCCAGACUCCUACGGGAGGCAGCAGUGGGGAAUAUUGCACAAUGGGGGAAACCCUGAUGCAGCCAUGCCGCGUGUGUGAAGAAGGCCUUCGGGUUGUAAAGCACUUUCAGCGAGGAGGAAAGGUUGAUGCCUAAUACGUAUCAACUGUGACGUUACUCGCAGAAGAAGCACCGGCUAACUCCGUGCCAGCAGCCGCCGUAA
rnacentral:rRNA from 1 species